GACGCAGGCAGAUCUGUCAAUCAAACAGCAGCCCCCAACCACCGGUGGCUGCCCAUAGACAGCCGUCCAUAGACAGCUGUCCAUACACCUCCACCGGCUCCGGCCCCUCCUCAGCUCAAUGAGUAACUAACCUGCAGAGAGCAUCCUGGACUUUGAUGUUGGCAACAGUGAUGGUGGUGACGGCAGGUCACAGGGAACAGUCACCCCAGAGGGACGGGUAGUGAGAGGAGAAGAGGAUGGAGAGGAGGGGGAAGCCAAAUGUAGGGAAGAGUAUGUGGAUCAGUUCAAAUGUUAAGAAUAAUACACCACUUUGUGUCACGUUAGGUUUUUCCAAAAUGGAACUGAUUCGCCUUUUACUUCUCCAUGGUUCUUCUCCAUUCCUCCUUGCUACUGAUGUCUCUCUUUCCAUACUCUUAUUGGGCUCUGUCUCCCUCUUGCUCUCCGUGUUGUCACUCUGGCCUAUGGCCUCUUUCCCCAUCUCCCUUUUGAAUUAUUAACUCCCCAGCUCAGGGGAGUGAAUGGGUACUGCUGAGUAGACAUAGCACAGAUCCGGCGUCACAUUGCCCACAUUUCGGAAGUCCGUCCAUUUAAGGGGAUUACAUUGCUGGCCCCAUCAGCCCCCACCCCAUUUUCACUCACACACUCACAUUCUACAUGUAAACCUGUGCAGACCUUUCAGUUAUUAUGAAUAGCUGAUGGUUGGACAGUGAAAUAAACAGAGAAGUGGUUAUA